GGAGAGAGGGAUAGCAGAGAAAGGGAGUUGAGAGGAGAGAGAGGGAGGAGGACAUAAAGAGAAGGAACGAGGCAGUCGGCUGAUUCACCAUCCAACCUUUUUCUUUCUCCUCCUCUUCUUCAUUGAAACGGAGGUGGAGGUGUGUCCACCCCCACACACACACACACACACAGACCGAUGCUCAUCACAGCCUCCACCAGGCUCUAUGCCUUCAUCUCCUAUUGUCAUUACUCCAUCUACCUCUGUCUCAUUCUUUCUCGUUCCAUCCAUCCCUCGUUAUUUCCCUGCAGCCCCCACGCUCUUCUAUCCCACAUGCUCUGUGUCACCACCGUGGAGAGGAAAAUGAUCGGCCAACAAGCUGGAAGAAGUAGAGAGGAACGAGAGAGGAGAAAGAGAGCAGGAGCGAACUGUGUCCGUUCCAUCCGGACUUUCCUGCAUCCCGUAUGGAUUAUCUCCACGGACGGACAGAGGGAGCAGUGGAGGAGUGAGGAAAAAGACCAAGAAAGAAGAAAGGAACAGCCAGCCUGCCUGAGGGCACUGUCUUUCGGCUGUGUUUGGGACUCUGGCUAAUUAUGGAGUAUUCUCAGGACUCCAGCGGAGAAGAGAGAGACGCGCUCUCUCUGGCUUUUCAUUCUAAUUAAUUCCCCUCCGUGCAAACACUCAAAGACCCUUUUUCUCCUUCCUUCUCUCCCUCCCUCCACUCUCCUUCUCUUCAUCCUUUUGAGAGCAAAAUAAUUGGUCGUGGAGAUUGGCUUUUCUGUGUCGGAGCCAGAAGAGUGAGAUCUCCCAAUCCUUUACACCUGGAGCUUGUGUGAGUGUGCAUGUGUGGAUGUGUGUGUUUGCGUGUGUUUGUGUAUGAGGAAUUUCUGAGUUGUCCCUCAGGUGUUUGGGAGGGUUAUGUACCACACAAGAUGAUGUCUUGUCAACUGGACUGGCUUGGACAGAAUAGUUUAACAUGAAAGUUACGGUGAGAGGGACAGAAACCAUUCCCAAAAUGGUAGAACAAAGUAGAAAGAAAAAUAUGUGAAGGAAGAAAAAAAAUCCCGUUUUGACCUGAAGCCUAACCAGUCCUGUGGAUGGACACAAACACGAGCGAUAAGAGGUGAGAAGAGAACACACUGGGUCCCUUCACAACCGCAGAACAACACACUGACUGACAAAUGCAAAAGAUUGAUGAGGGAAUGGACCUAAAAACAUGCAAGCUUCUGGAACAUGUCAGCCACUCGAUUCUCUUCGCUUUCCUGUUUCUCUCUUAGGACAGAGCACCAAUUACAAAAAUACAAAUACACAAAGGUUGAACGGUAGAAACUUGGCUUUAUCUGGAACCCGUUCUCAGAAUUUAAAAAAAGUCUGCCUCCUCUUUUUUCUCUCCCUCCCAUUUCUCCUCUCCUCCAUCAAUCCUACCCCCCCCCACACACUCUCUCUCCCCUUUCCCAUCUUUCUCAUCUGUCUUAUAUCUCUCCUGUCCAUCCCCCUCUCUUUUCCUCUCCAUUUCUCCUUUUCUCUUUCUUUUUUCCCCCUCUGGCUUGCUCCCUCUGUUACACCUCCUUGCCUCCUCGCCCCACUCCUGACACCUCCCUCUCGCCCAGUCUCAUUUUUCACACACAGCCCAGUCUGUUAGUUUGUGUGUGUGAAAGGGAACAAAUCCAUUCUGCAGUGAAGGCGCGGAGCAAAGGGAAGCCUGAGGUACACCACGUGUCUCCGUCAGACCAUGCCCCAGUUCACAUUUGCCUGUUUCUGUAGUCUGAAUGGUUUCUGCCGGCGACGACGGAAGAAAAAGCUGAAAAGCUUGGAACAGGCGGAGAUGGAGGAGAAACUGAAAGAUCAGGAGACAGAGGUGUGAAGAAGCCUGGAUGGAGGUUCUCCUCUGAUAGACUGUCCGCUGUGGUUCUAAGCCCUUACUGUGGACCUCAGGCAGGUUCACUCCUUACGUGGUCCAGAUGGGGCAUGAAGUCACCAAACACACACAGUACCACUCAUUAACAUAAUCAUUAUUUCUUAUUAAACUAUUUCACUCACAUGUAAGUCAAUACAGUUCAGUAGGUUGCAGAUUAUUAAUUCUGAAAUGGAGACAAUGUUGACCUACGCCCAAAUCUGUCUCCGCUAUCCAAAGCAGCUUCACUGGAAUGUGUAGGUAAAAGUUCAAAAGCAAUGUCUCCUCCAAGGAGACGGCCACCACACAAGCACAAAACACUUACAUAAACAUACACACUUGCACAUACACACACACAUAUACACACACACGUGCACACACACGUUGAUUAAAUACACUGUAUACAGUU